CAGCCGCCGCGGUAAUACGUAGGUGGCAAGCGUUGUCCGGAAUUAUUGGGCGUAAAGCGCGCGCAGGUGGUUUAAUAAGUCUGAUGUGAAAGCCCACGGCUCAACCGUGGAGGGUCAUUGGAAACUGUUAAACUUGAGUGCAGGAGAGAAAAGUGGAAUUCCUAGUGUAGCGGUGAAAUGCGUAGAGAUUAGGAGGAACACCAGUGGCGAAGGCGGCUUUUUGGCCUGUAACUGACACUGAGGCGCGAAAGCGUGGGGAGCAAACAGGAUUAGAUACCCGUGUAGUCCCUGUCUCUUAUAC
rnacentral:rRNA from 1 species